GGUUCUAUGGUGUGAUGGUUAGCACGCUGGACUCUGAAUCCAGCAAUCUGAGUUCAAAUCUCGGUAGGACAU
rnacentral:tRNA from 1 species